UUAGUAUUAAUGAGCUUAAGUUCAUUUCGUUUGGGUCAAGCUAGUUGGUUAACGUGUUUAGGCUUUAUUCAAGAGUCCAGAUGCGCGCAAGUUUCAGAGUCGUGUAGGGAUUAAAAGUGCAAUUCUCAGAGUUAUGCGCGACACUUAAGUUAGUUACAGAAAAGGGAGAGUGCAAUUUCUCGAUUCACUGUCUCUACUUCCUCUUUCGCCAUUUUCGUUCCUUUCUCUCUCUACAAAGCUUGGUUUUACCCCUUUUUGAAGCUAAAGAAAGGAGAUCUCGCACCCCAUUUGUAUUUGCAAAAAAUCUAAUCAUAGACUCUCCCCCAUUUGUUGAAGCUGAGGAGGUCUUAGGAGGAUUAGUUCCUGACGAGGUGGUUCUCCCUCGAAAGAGGGUGCACGUGCUCGUGAGGUAGGCAAGGAGCAGCGCGUCGGUGCUGAGCGACGUCGCCACGAGGAGUUAGUUUGGGAGGCUUCUCCCAACAAGGAUUCGCAGGUCCUUAAAUGGGACCCAGACAACCAUGUUUCGAUUUGGGGUUAGCGCGGCAUAGUGAGUAUCUUGUGUUUAUUUCUUGCUUUUUCUUUUUUUGGAUUCCUUUUCAGAUCCACCAUAAUCGAAUUUCUUUUUACAGUGACCUAGCAUGCGCCUGUACGGUUUGGGUGACUUGAGGGGUUGGUUUGAGACUUUACCUAAGGUAGUGAAGGAGGCGAUAGAGCUUUUGGAGGUCAGUCCCUAGGUUGCAGCUCUUCGGGAUUUAUCGAGUCAGACUGUGUCACUAGCUUUCCUUAACGGGCUGUUGAAGUUUUGGUGGGAUUCCACCUACACUUUUCACUACCUGUGGGGAUAGAUGAUGGUUACCUCUUACGAUUUCUCUAAGAUCACGGGCUCUCCUUUUGGAGGUGAGCCCGUGGUUUAGUGGAAAAUAAAGGGGUCAGAUGAGAUAUUGCGUGAUUCUGGGGGGGAUCGUCUUGCGGCGACCCUCCAUGUGUAUGCGCAAACUUGUCCGUACUCAGUUCUUGCCAAUGAGUUGUCGACUGAUGAGGUUGACCAACAGUGUACUCUUGAGUAGUAGUCUCAAAUAUACAUUGCUCACGUUCUUUCCGUCACUAUUUUGAGUGAUCGGGGAGAGCGCUUCGCCGUUGGGUUACUCGUUUGCUUCAGUGAGUUGGGGUAGGUGGGUGACCUUAACUGGGCGGAGGUGUCGUACGUCUGUUUUCUUAUUGCAAUGGCCAAAACUACCCGAGUGAUGGGUUUCGCGGUAACUACUGUGGUGCCCUAAAUCUACAUUUCAUGGCAUGGCUGUAUUCUCGAUUUUUAAGCUGAUCAUGUUUUUGUUUGCUUUUUAGGUCUAGGGUACUCGUACCUGCUGUUUUAGGGGGUUUUUACGUGUCCUGUGGUAGAUUUACGUCACUAAGUUUGGAUCCUCGUGGCUUGUACCUGCACACAAACGAAAGCUCUGGAUGUUCGAAGUUCUGCCUCUGAUGAUCAAGUUAGUUCGUGUCGAACUUCGACCACCUCUGAAGUUCAACCUUUCUCCAUAUCUUUCCUCCGUUACGCGUGCUCGUAGUUCUCCAUUAAAGCGCAUUUUGAGCUUUGUCCAUAUCACUCCUCCACUACGCGUACUUUUAAUUCUCCAUUGAAGCGGAUUCGAGCUUUCUCACCUCCAUUGAAGCAGCUUCGAGGUAAAGGCACUUAUGAAGGAUCAUUUAAAUGGAAAAGCAGGAGGAUAAAGUGAAAAGUCAUCUCAGCCUAGGGCAUCAGUUGAACCGAACUCACGUAACUUUGAUGAUUUAGUGGUGAAAUUCCUUAACAGCAAAGAUGUUUGAGCUGCAGAGUUCUUUAGACCCUGCAACUGUGUUCUUGGGAUCCACUUAAGAGGCCAACAACAGAGCAGGCGCUGCAUCAUCCAUUCUUUAAUGGUGCUUCAUGGGUCCCUCGUCCAAUUCAUGGUCCUUUACAAAACAAACCAGAGUAUACGAAAACAAAGGAAGACGGCGCCUUCUAAUCCGUGUAUCUCCCAUUGAAGAGGCAACUUCUGAGGGUGCUGCCGUGCUUGUGGCCUGCGUGGGGUUUAGUGCUGGGUUUUUGAAGCUGCUACUGCUGUUGUUGGGCUGCCUGUUGUUGGGGUGUUGCUGUUUUUCUUUUGGUGUAGCUGCUGCUGGUGCCUAAUGUUUUCUGUAGGUUGGUCUGUUGCCACC